CAAAAUACUGAGUGUCUCAUCCU
rnacentral:piRNA from 1 species